rnacentral:rRNA from 1 species
GACGUAGGGCGCGAGCGUUGUCCGGAUUUAUUGGGCGUAAAGAGCGUGUAGGCGGCUAUUUAAGUCCUGCGUGAAAUCCUGCGGCUCAACCGCAGACGGUCGUGGGAAACUGGAUGGCUAGAGUGCGGGAGAGGAGAGUGGAAUUCCCGGUGUAGCGGUGAAAUGCGCAGAUAUCGGGAAGAACACCCGUGGCGAAGGCGGCUCUCUGGAACGCAACUGACGCUGAGACGCGAAAAGCGUGGGGGAGCAAACAGG